rnacentral:rRNA from 1 species
CAGCCGCCGCGGGAAUACAGAGGGUGCAAGCGUUAAUCGGAAUUACUGGGCGUAAAGCGCGCGUAGGUGGUUUGUUAAGUUGGAUGUGAAAUCCCCGGGCUCAACCUGGGAACUGCAUCCAAAACUGGCAGGCUAGAGUAGGGCAGAGGGUGGUGGAAUUUCCUGUGUAGCGGUGAAAUGCGUAGAUAUAGGAAGGAACACCAGUGGCGAAGGCGACCACCUGGGCUCAUACUGACACUGAGGUGCGAAAGCGUGGGGAGCAAACAGGAUUAGAUACCCGUGUAGUCCCUGUCUCUUAUAC